GACGAACGCUGGCGGCGUGCCUAAUACAUGCAAGUAGAACGCAGUUGCGAACGGGUGAGUAACGCGUAGGUAACUGCCUCAUAGCGGGGGAUAACUAUUGGAAACGAUAGCUAAUACCGCAUACUGUGAGAUAGACCUGCGUGGUAUUAGCUAGUUGGUGGGGUAAAGGCUCACCAAGGCGACGAUACAUGGCCGACCUGAGAGGUCGAUCGGCCACACUGGAACUGAGACACGGCCCAGACUCCUACGGGAGGCAGCAGUGGGGAAUUUUGGACAAUGGGGGCAACCCUGAUCCAGCCAUGCCGCGUGUAUGAAGAAGGCCUUCGGGUUGUAAAGUACUUUUGGUAGGGAAGCGUUACCUACAGAAUAAGCACCGGCUAACUACGUGCCAGCCGCCGCGGUAAUAC
rnacentral:rRNA from 1 species